UGUGGCCUCCCCGUUUGUUUACAGGGACAUCAGACCAGCUGGACUCAGUUGGCUUUCACCACUGGGAUGGCUUCUGCAACCCUCGACACCAGCCCAGGAGCUGCAGCACAGCUCAUAGUGGGGCUGGCCAGGGACUCUCCUCAACAUCUGAGAACAUUGUUCUCCAAAGAGUAUGGGUUUCUGGAAAACACACUUAUCUGUUUCUUCUGCUGUCCUCCCAUAAAGGCAACUUCCCACCCACAGUUGAAUUCCUUCAGCUCUUCUGAAACUUCUUUAGUCUCUUGGGGCCCAGGAGGUCAGAGGGGUGUAAAAGAUGUCUUGCCUUCUGCCUAAGCUCCCCUAUCCACCUCUGAGUUCAGUGGAGAGCAAGCAAAAGUGUAAGGUCAUGUGAUAUCAACGUCCUCCCCACAUACUCUUCAUUCCCUGGGAGAAUAACUACUGGAGAAAAAAAAAAAUGGUGCCUCUUUCAAGAACCGAGUCAUUGUGACGACCUCUGGGCCACGUGGUCAGGAGCUGUCGAUGGUGUCCGGCCAACAGUUAGCAAGAAAGCAGAGACCCCAGACCCCUUAUAACCACAAACAGCUGAAUUCUACCAUCCACUUAUUGAACUUGAGAGACUACCAUAAGCUACAAAUGAGAUCCGUGGCAUGACUAAUACCUGACUGCACCUUCGGGGGACCCUGAGCAGAGGAUCCAGCUAAGCCAUCCAGACUGCUGGUUGGCAGAAAUGACAUUAGAAGAUAUGGACUAUUAUUAUUCCUGUUUCUCAGAUGAGAAAAACCUAGGUACAAAGAAGCUGAGUUCCUUCCCAUGGUCACACAGCAAAGAAGUGAAGGCCACAUUCAAAGGCCAUGCUAUCCUGUUCCAC
rnacentral:lncRNA from 10 species